rnacentral:rRNA from 1 species
UACGAAGGGGGCUAGCGUUGCUCGGAAUCACUGGGCGUAAAGGGUGCGUAGGCGGGUUUUUAAGUCAGGGGUGAAAUCCUGGAGCUCAACUCCAGAACUGCCUUUGAUACUGGAGAUCUUGAGUUCGGGAGAGGUGAGUGGAACUGCGAGUGUAGAGGUGAAAUUCGUAGAUAUUCGCAAGAACACCAGUGGCGAAGGCGGCUCACUGGCCCGAUACUGACGCUGAGGCACGAAAGCGUGGGGAGCAAACAGG